ACCCAGAUGAACAUGAGGGCCCCCAUGCUGCUCCUCGGUCUCCUGCUGCUCUGGCUCCCAGGUGCCAGGUGCAACAUCCAGCUGACCCAGUCUCCAUCCUCUGUGUCUGCAUCUCUAGGUGACACAGUCACCAUCACUUGUCAGGCCAGUCAGAGCAUUGGCAAGGAAUUAUCCUGGCAUCAACAGAAACCAGGGAAACCUCCUACCCUCCUGAUCUAUUAUGCAUCCAAUUUGCACACCGGGGUCCCAUCCCGAUUCAGUGGCAAUGGAUCUGGGACAGAUUUCAGCCUCACCAUCAGCAGCCUGGAGGCUGAAGAUGCUGUAGCUUAUUACUGUCUACAUGAUUACAGUAGCCCUCCCACAGUGCUACAAGCCAGAACAUAA